GAAAAAAGGUAACCGUGCAUGGAGGAAUUGUUAAGAAAAUAUAGUGCGUGCUAAAAACUUUAAUUUGGUUCCUGACAGAGAAUAAGUCGUAAAAUACGAAGUUAUAAUUAGAUGUCAAUGCCCUUCGUACGUGACCGAUGCGUUAACAGAAGAGGUUAAAAGUAAUAUAUACCGAAUUAAGCUUAACUCUGGUCCAUCGAGCGACAGCCGUUUGUUGCCCAACACAGCUGGUCAAUGUUCUAAGGAGCGAACCUGUCCACCCUUUACCGAAGACCGAUAGGGUUAAGCCCUAAAUCUGGAUCAAAUUGCAUCAGCUGUUGUCGAAUGUCAAGGAUUUUUCAAGUAAUCUGAUAACAUCAGUCACUUAAACAUCGCGCUCGGAACUUAGACGGCGGCCAUUAAGCUCACGCAUCUUCAAGCUGAAUAAUCGAGUUGGACAAGUUCUAUUAGUCCACGAGCCGGCGUGGAACAAUGGAAUGUUUUCCGUUUUCGCCACUCAUUCAUCAAUUUAGCACCUUAACGGAAGGACAGAGCGUGCGCUGCCGCUGAUUUUCUCCUAGCCAGGCCGGCGAACGUCUCUAUACAUCAGUGAUCAUUAGUGCUGCAUCCAAGUUUUUCUUGGAUCUUUUAAAAUUAUAUUUUUAUAGAACAUGAAAUGUUCGUGGCAAUGGAAUUAUGCGUUUCUUGCGUUGCCUGGGGUUUGUAUAUUACUAUCUCAUAAGAAUGUGGAUACAGAAUGGUGUAGAUAGAGACGUAAAGGUAACAGACUAGCUGACAAUCGUAUCGUAAACAUUGCAGUUCACAUACUUUUUGAAUCAAUAGAAAAAGAUGAUAUAUUUAUAGAAAAUACGUAUCCCUUCAAUUGUAGUAUCUCUUAUUUUUGUAGACAGUUCGGGCACUUGUUGAUAGUUUUCUCUACUCGUCGUACAACAGAGAAGAGGUUAAUUCUUUGUGAAAUUAUAAAUUGAAAAGACUUUUAUAUAUAAAGCUUCGUUUUCGUUGUACACACUGGUUUGGACCCAUUUCGAAACAAUAAAAUAAAAUGUACAUAGUCGUACAAAAUACGAGGCAUCUCUGCAAUCGUAGCACAACAGAGAACAGUGUAAUUCUUCGCGAAGGUAUGAAUGAAGAGUAUGAAAUAAAAUUUUUGCAUACGAAGCCUCCUUUUCGAGGAAGAUAACUUUGAAAAUUCAUCACGUAUACGUAUACUAAUUUUAACUUUUUGAAUGAGGAAUCACCACUUUUCUCAUCUAAGAUUGUAGAAACACCCUGUAUAAAGCAGAAGUCUCUUCGCGUCACUUUUAGCAGAAAAGGUGGAUCUUCCAGCAAGGAGUUACUUUGUCAACUAGAUGCAAGAAUUCUUGGUAAUCCGUAUUGCUGUUUGACCAUCGUUCAAUCGAUAAAAUUCUUGCUUACAGUGUAUCGUGUACCAGUCGGCUUCGCAAUGGCAGUCGGUAGCCACGUCUGAUUUCAUUUCUCGAAAAGGCAAAUCCCCGAGAAACGCUCGCUCAGGUGGAAUGAAGGAAUCACUUUCGAUUAAGCGUUAGCGUGAUAUCCUGCCAACUGCUACUUACUCUGCGACGAACAUUAAUAUUAGUAUCGAUU